GGGGAUGUAGCUCAGUGUAAAAACAUGUGCUUAGCAUGCACAAGGCCCUGGGUUUAAUCCCCAGUACCUCCA
rnacentral:tRNA from 1 species